GACGAACGCUGGCGGCGUGCUUAACACAUGCAAGUCGAACGAUGAAGGAAGAAGCUUGCUUCUUCUGGAUUAGUGGCGAACGGGUGAGUAACACGUGAGCAAUCUGCCCUUGACUCUGGGAUAAGCGUUGGAAACGACGUCUAAUACCGGAUACGACCCUCGGAGGCAUCUCCUGGGGGUGGAAAGAAUUUUGGUCAAGGAUGAGCUCGCGGCCUAUCAGCUUGUUGGUGAGGUAAUGGCUCACCAAGGCGACGACGGGUAGCCGGCCUGAGAGGGUGACCGGCCACACUGGGACUGAGACACGGCCCAGACUCCUACGGGAGGCAGCAGUGGGGAAUAUUGCACAAUGGGCGAAAGCCUGAUGCAGCAACGCCGCGUGAGGGAUGACGGCCUUCGGGUUGUAAACCUCUUUUAGUAGGGAAGAAGCGAAAGUGACGGUACCUGCAGAAAAAGCACCGGCUAACUACGUGCCAGCAGCCGCGGUAAUACGUAGGGUGCAAGCGUUGUCCGGAAUUAUUGGGCGUAAAGAGCUCGUAGGCGGUUUGUCGCGUCUGCUGUGAAAUCUGGGGGCUCAACCCCCAGCCUGCAGUGGGUACGGGCAGACUAGAGUGCGGUAGGGGAGAUUGGAAUUCCUGGUGUAGCGGUGGAAUGCGCAGAUAUCAGGAGGAACACCGAUGGCGAAGGCAGAUCUCUGGGCCGUAACUGACGCUGAGGAGCGAAAGCAUGGGGAGCGAACAGGAUUAGAUACCCUGGUAGUCCAUGCCGUAAACGUUGGGAACUAGAUGUGGGGACCAUUCCACGGUCUCCGUGUCGCAGCUAACGCAUUAAGUUCCCCGCCUGGGGAGUACGGCCGCAAGGCUAAAACUCAAAGGAAUUGACGGGGGCCCGCACAAGCGGCGGAGCAUGCGGAUUAAUUCGAUGCAACGCGAAGAACCUUACCAAGACUUGACAUAUACGAGAACGGGCCAGAAAUGGUCAACUCUUUGGACACUCGUAAACAGGUGGUGCAUGGUUGUCGUCAGCUCGUGUCGUGAGAUGUUGGGUUAAGUCCCGCAACGAGCGCAACCCUCGUCCUAUGUUGCCAGCACGUAAUGGUGGGAACUCAUGGGAUACUGCCGGGGUCAACUCGGAGGAAGGUGGGGAUGACGUCAAAUCAUCAUGCCCCUUAUGUCUUGGGCUUCACGCAUGCUACAAUGGCCGGUACAAAGGGCUGCGAUACCGUAAGGUGGAGCGAAUCCCAAAAAGCCGGUCUCAGUUCGGAUUGAGGUCUGCAACUCGACCUCAUGAAGUCGGAGUCGCUAGUAAUCGCAGAUCAGCAACGCUGCGGUGAAUACGUUCCCGGGCCU
rnacentral:rRNA from 1 species